GCACGUUUCUCUAAUCCUGUGUUUUUUCUUAAGGAGCAAAGAGGUUAAUAAGCAAGAAGGGGCAAGAAGGAAGGGAGAAGAAAGAAGCUCCCCUGUACAGAGAUGGAGGUGAACUCCAAAGCAAAGAGAGGGAACCCCACCUGCCACAGAUACCAACUAGGCUGGAGUGCAGUGGUGUGAUCUCAGCUCUCUGUGUCCUCUGCCUCCCAGGUUCAAGCAAUUCUCCUGCUUCAGCCUCCUGAAUAGCUGGGACUACAGGUGCG
rnacentral:lncRNA from 1 species